GCAAACCUGCUGAAUGGGAAAUGCCACAAUGCUGUGUGCUGGGAUGUAAAAGACGCUUAGAAACCCACCCAGAUUUGUCAUUUUUCCGGUUUCCAGAAGAUGUAAAACGGAGAAAGAAGUGGCUCAAAGCAAUAAGGCAAGAAGACUUCAUUCCAAGAGGAUGGUCAAGGGUUUGCAGCUGGCAUUUUCUGCAUGGAAAAGGUGUUGGGCCGGUUCGAUUCCCAUGGAAUGAAGGAAAAUAUUUCAACUUUCCAAGUCCAGAGAAACGGUAAGACAUAAAUGUAUGAAAGCACCAUUUAGAGGCACAAACUUUGUUUCAACUGGUCCCUCUAGUUUAUUUCAUUGUUAA